GACGAACGCUGGCGGCGUGCCUAAUACAUGCAAGUCGAGCGGACCGGAUUGGGGCUUGCCUUGAUUCGGUCAGCGGCGGACGGGUGAGUAACACGUGGGCAACCUGCCCGCAAGACCGGGAUAACUCCGGGAAACCGGAGCUAAUACCGGAUAACACCGAAGACCGCAUGGUCUUCGGUUGAAAGGCGGCCUUUGGGCUGUCACUUGCGGAUGGGCCCGCGGCGCAUUAGCUAGUUGGUGAGGUAACGGCUCACCAAGGCGACGAUGCGUAGCCGGCCUGAGAGGGUGACCGGCCACACUGGGACUGAGACACGGCCCAGACUCCUACGGGAGGCAGCAGUAGGGAAUCUUCCGCAAUGGGCGAAAGCCUGACGGAGCGACGCCGCGUGAGCGAAGAUGGCCUUCGGGUCGUAAAGCUCUGUUGUGAGGGACGAAGGAGCGUCGUUCGAAGAGGGCGGCGCGGUGACGGUACCUCACGAGAAAGCCCCGGCUAACUACGUG
rnacentral:rRNA from 1 species